rnacentral:rRNA from 1 species
ACGCUGGCGGCAGGCCUAACACAUGCAAGUCGAGCGGAUGACGGGAGCUUGCUCCUUGAGCUUGCUCCUUGAUUCAGCGGCGGACGGGUGAGUAAUGCCUAGGAAUCUGCCUGGUAGUGGGGGACAACGUUUCGAAAGGAACGCUAAUACCGCAUACGUCCUACGGGAGAAARCAGGGGACCUUCGGGCCUUGCGCUAUCAGAUGAGCCUAGGUCGGAUUAGCUAGUUGGUGGGGUAAUGGCUCACCAAGGCGCGCUAUCASAUGAGCCGACGAUCCGUAACUGGUCUGAGAGGAUGAUCAGUCACACUGGAACUGAGACACGGUCCAGACUCCUACGGGAGGCAGCAGUGGGGAAUAUUGGACAAUGGGCGAAAGCCUGAUCCAGCCAUGCCGCGUGUGUGAAGAAGGUCUUCGGAUUGUAAAGCACUUUAAGUUGGGAGGAAGGGCAUUAACCUAAUACGUUAGUGUUUUGACGUUACCGACAGAAUAAGCACCGGCUAACUCUGUGCCAGCAGCCGCGGUAAUACAGAGGGUGCAAGCGUUAAUCGGAAUUACUGGGCGUAAAGCG